rnacentral:rRNA from 1 species
GAUGAACGCUGGCGGCGUGCUUAACACAUGCAAGUCGAACGGUGAAGCAGGAGCUUGCUCUUGUGGAUCAGUGGCGAACGGGUGAGUAACACGUGAGCAACCUGCCCCUGACUCUGGGAUAAGCGCUGGAAACGGCGUCUAAUACUGGAUAUGUGAUGUGACCGCAUGGUCUGCAUCUGGAAAGAAUUUCGGUUGGGGAUGGGCUCGCGGCCUAUCAGCUUGUUGGUGAGGUAAUGGCUCACCAAGGCGUCGACGGGUAGCCGGCCUGAGAGGGGGACCGGCCACACUGGGAAUGAGACACGGCCCAGACUCCUACGGGAGGCAGCAGUGGGGAAUAUUGCACAAUGGGCGUAAGCCUGAUGCAGCAACGCCGCGUGAGGGAUGACGGCGUUCGGGUUGUAAACCUCUUUUAGCAGGGAAGAAGCGAAAGUGACGGUACCUGCAGAAGAAGCACCGGCUAACUACGUGCCAGCCGCCGCCGUAA